rnacentral:misc_RNA from 1 species
CAGGUCAUCGUCGCUGUCUUUUAUUGGUAUCAUGAUGCUGGUGGGCCUCGAUGGCAGGCGACACCUCAGCGUCGUCUCAAGGUCCACUGCCUCCGACUCUGUCUUAUGAGGCCAGGCAGUUCCCUCACCCCCCCGCCCCCUCCAUCCCUGCGAGUGCAGAGCCACAUCUGGCGGUGACCGCGUCCGUCACCCGCUACGUGGGGAAGUUAUAGCGAGUCCUCGCUGCUGAUGUGGGCGGCCAGGUCGCGGAGGGCGCGGCGCCGGGGCACCCUGCGAGGCGGGGAGUGUGGGCAGAGCGCGAGGCAGGGGCUGCACUGAGACGGCUGCGUCGGGGCGUUUGCUGCAACGCGUGUGCCUACGGCUGCUUCGCACCACGCGACGGGGCCUGUGGCAGGGCCGGAGGCGGUGUGACGUUGAACAUGUGUCGUAUGGCGGAGCGUGGGCGUACUGGACGAUACAAUCUAAAUCGACGGUGGCGGCUGGAGGUUUGGCUGUGUGUCCUCUUCUGCUAUUUUUCUUUAUGUCGUUCUUUCUCCCUGCGACGCUUCCGAUGCAACAUGCCCUCUGCUUGAAACGCCCACGCCUGUCAAAGGCGUGCGGAUGCAGGGGAAGGUGGAGUGUGCCCCGUGCCGCCGCAGACUCACAGCAACGUCUCGCCUGUCGCUGCACAUGCGGGCAAGCCAUCCAGGCACGACUCCAUGGUGUCGGCGGAAGCGGCAGAUGACGGCAGCGAGCCCCCUCCCUAUACAAGCGAGCAGCGCCGUACUGGAGCAGGCCCCAGGAUGCAAGAAUGCGAGUGCUGUGCGCCGGCGCUGCCGAGCACAAGCCGGCAUGGCGUCUUGCAUCCGAGCAAGGCGCGAAGAGAUCUAUACCGAUCAGCCCCCCCCUCCUCAGUGCAUGUGCGCGAAAUGUGCGACACCUCCUCGAUCCGACUGGGUGGGCUGAGGAGGCACAGAUGCCGGGGGAGGGGGGGAUAUGACGCGAGCACCCCGAACGGCUGCAUCGAGUCCUCCGGGCUCCCAUGUGGAGAGUCUCCGCACCGUAUUACGGCAUGCCGCUGCUUGAGUCGACUGAAAGAGAGGCCUGGCACACAGACAGGGGGUGUGCAGGGUCUCAGAGUGCCCUGGCCUGGGGCCGGCCAACCUCCUCUCUGCGCUCAUCCGGCGCGCACCUGGACCACCCCCUGAUCACCCGCACGACAGACGCCACCGGUUCCGCCUUUGAUCAGUAUGCAUGCCGCAGCUCGACAGAGACCGAUGUGCUGUGCUUGCAUGUGCGCCGAUUCGAUGACUUGUUCGUUUUUUAAAUGACACUUGGAUUAACAUAAUCGGUUGACCCAUCCGUUGGUGCUCGUGUGCCUCGUGUUUCUCCCUGUUGUAUAGGUGCUUUCUCGGUAUAUGUGCGUUAUGCGUUCACAUAUGGGCUGCGAUGUCGAUGUGUGCCGUUGCACGCGUGUGUGGCUCUCUCGCUUUCUCUUCUUGGGUGUGCCGCUCUCAAUCCGCCUCAACGUUUUUUGCCUUGUGUUGUGGGUCCAUCUCCCGUGCGCGCAACGGCUCCGUCUUUUGUAUCUUGCCGAGCCUUGUGGUGGAUGCGCGUUGGGGUGCCGCCUCACACCCUUUCUUCUCCCUCUCUUGGUUCCUCGAAUAUCACCAUCGAGUGCUGCUUUGUGUUGUCCACCGCGCGUGUUGUGCUGAUCUGCGCGCUGCCCGCGUCCGUGUUUCUGUCUGCUGUGCUUCUUUCAUUUCGUUGCUUUUCUUUCUCGUUUGCCGUCCUCUUCCCAUGUGCAGCUCGAGGCUCGGCUACCUCGCUUCAUGCGUAGUGGCGGUGCGUGCUCGCGCGAGGAUUGUACGUAUGCGUGUGGUGUAUGUAUGCGUAUGCUUAUACGUGUAUGUGUGCUUGUUUGUGUGCAUUUCGUUUUUACUUUUUGUCGUUGGCAUUCUCACUGCACUCGCUGCAUGUGUGCUCGGUGCAAGGCUGAGUCUUGCCUCUGCUCUGUGUCUCUUUUUCGGGGGUCUCGAUGUCUCCGCACCGACCGUGCGAGCAGACGGCCGCAACGCACUCUUAGCUUUUCUUCAUCUGAAUGAAGGAAAAGGAGAGGCGGGGAGGGGGGCGCCCACACACUAAGAAUGUGAAGUACGCCGCUGUCGUAUCGUGCUCUGCGCAAAACGUUACGUGCGCGACACAGGCAUUUGUGCGUCGACCUCUCUUCGUGUUGCAACCCUGAGGUAAGAAUUACGGACUCCUCCUAUGGACAGUGAGCGUCCUCUCUUUCGCCCUUCCAUGUCUUCGCAGUGCCCACUUUUCCGUUGUUCAGAGGGCUGCUUGCGGCUGCGGCGUCCGUCUUUGUAUUUUUAGUGCGCAGCAGCGUUGAUGAGUCUGGGAACAUUCUGUGUGCCGCUUUCUGUGUGCGAACUCGGCCUGGUGGUGAUGCUGUCUGAUGAAAAAGCAAGGUGUCGCUGUUUACGGUUGCCUGUCUCCCAGAGGAACUGGUUUCUUUUGGUGGAGCGGAUUCGCGUGUGCAGCACCCCACCCGCUUGGUGCCCGUCCGCACGCUUGCCUGCGCUUCUGGUCCUCUACCCAUCCCCACGCGUGAAUGAGUUGAUCAUCUCACGCGACAGAGCUCGCGGAGCGGCAUAAGGGCGAGAGUCCCUCGUGAUACGGCAGCGGUUUUGCGCGCUCACUAAUUACGCGUCUCGUGAGCGUCAUGCGCAAGAUGGGCCAUGACCUCUAUGGUCCGUCACGUUGACCUAUGACUCCUCUUUGUGUGGACGUGUCUUCGCAGGUGCGGCCACCCGCAAAUCGUUUUUCAUUCGCUUUUUGUGUUACAUGCACUCGCAUGCUGCAGAGCAAGUACCCCUCCCCCUCCCUCUACUCUUCUCCCUAUCGAUUCACAGAAGAACCGACAUGCUUGUGUGCAUGUUGUGUGUGCGUGUGUGUGUCGCUGUCCUCUUCUGUUGUUCUGCGUACCUCUAGGGUACAGCGCUUGCUGCUGAUGCUC